rnacentral:rRNA from 1 species
UACGGAGGGUGCAAACGUUGCUCGGAAUCAUUGGGCGUAAAGCGCACGUAGGCGGUCCAGCAAGUCGGGUGUGAAAGCCCUCGGCUCAACCGAGGAAGCGCAAACGAAACUACUGGACUUGAAUACUGAAGAGGGUCGCGGAAUUCCCGGUGUAGAGGUGAAAUUCGUAGAUAUCGGGAGGAACACCAGUGGCGAAGGCGGCGACCUGGGCAGAUAUUGACGCUGAGGUGCGAAAGCGUGGGGAGCAAACAGG